rnacentral:rRNA from 1 species
GACGAACGCUGGCGGCGUGCUUAACACAUGCAAGUCGAACGGAAAGGCCCUGCUUUUGUGGGGUGCUCGAGUGGCGAACGGGUGAGUAACACGUGAGUAACCUGCCCUUGACUUUGGGAUAACUUCAGGAAACUGGGGCUAAUACCGGAUAGGAGCUCCUGCUGCAUGGUGGGGGUUGGAAAGUUUCGGCGGUUGGGGAUGGACUCGCGGCUUAUCAGCUUGUUGGUGGGGUAGUGGCUUACCAAGGCUUUGGCGGGUAGCCGGCCUGAGAGGGUGACCGGCCACAUUGGGACUGAGAUACGGCCCAGACUCCUACGGGAGGCAGCAGUGGGGAAUAUUGCACAAUGGGCGGAAGCCUGAUGCAGCAACGCCGCGUGCGGGAUGACGGCCUUCGGGCUGUAAACCGCUUUCGCCUGUGACGAAGCGUGAGUGACGGUAAUGGGUAAAGAAGCACCGGCUAACUACGUG